rnacentral:rRNA from 1 species
UGGCGGACGGGUGAGUAACGCGUGGGUAACCUGCCCUAUACUGGGGGAUAACAGCUAGAAAUGGCUGCUAAUACCGCAUGAGCGCACAGUCCCGCAUGGGACAGUGCGGAAAACUCCGGUGGUAUAGGAUGGACCCGCGUCCGAUCAGCUGGUUGGUGGGGUAACGGCCCACCAAGGCGACGAUCGGUAGCCGACCUGAGAGGGUGACCGGCCACAUUGGGACUGAGACACGGCCCAAACUCCUACGGAAGGCAGCAG